rnacentral:rRNA from 1 species
CCGNUGCNUAUANUGCAGUCGAGCGAAUGGAUUAANAGCUUGCUCUUAUGAAGUUAGCGGCGGACGGGUGAGUAACACGUGGGUAACCUGCCCAUAAGACUGGGAUAACUCCGGGAAACCGGGGCUAAUACCGGAUAACAUUUUGAACCGCAUGGUUCGAAAUUGAAAGGCGGCUUCGGCUGUCACUUAUGGAUGGACCCGCGUCGCAUUAGCUAGUUGGUGAGGUAACGGCUCACCAAGGCAACGAUGCGUAGCCGACCUGAGAGGGUGAUCGGCCACACUGGGACUGAGACACGGCCCAGACUCCUACGGGAGGCAGCAGUAGGGAAUCUUCCGCAAUGGACGAAAGUCUGACGGAGCAACGCCGCGUGAGUGAUGAAGGCUUUCGGGUCGUAAAACUCUGUUGUUAGGGAAGAACAAGUGCUAGUUGAAUAAGCUGGCACCUUGACGGUACCUAACCAGAAAGCCACGGCUAACUACGUGCCAGCAGCCGCGGUAAUACGUAGGUGGCAAGCGUUAUCCGGAAUUAUUGGGCGUAAAGCGCGCGCAGGUGGUUUCUUAAGUCUGAUGUGAAAGCCCACGGCUCAACCGUGGAGGGUCAUUGGAAACUGGGAGACUUGAGUGCAGAAGAGGAAAGUGGAAUUCCAUGUGUAGCGGUGAAAUGCGUAGAGAUAUGGAGGAACACCAGUGGCGAAGGCGACUUUCUGGUCUGUAACUGACACUGAGGCGCGAAAGCGUGGGGAGCAAACAGGAUUAGAUACCCCUGGUAGUCCACGCCGUAAACGAUGAGUGCUAAUGGUUAGAAGGGUUUCCGCCCUUUAGUGCUGAAGUUAACGCAUUAAGCACUCCCGCUGGGGGAGUACGGGCCGCAAGGCUUGAAACUCCAAAGGAAUUUGACGGGGGGCCCSSCACAAGCCGGUGGAACWUGKGGGUUUAAUUCGAAGCAACCCCGAAAAACCUUACCAAGGUCUUGACUUCCUCUUGAMAA